UGGGGAAUAUUGGACAAUGGGCGCAAGCCUGAUCCAGCCAUGCCGCGUGGGUGAUGAAGGCCCUAGGGUUGUAAAGCCCUUUCGGCGGGGAAGAUAAUGACGGUACCCGCAGAAGAAGCCCCGGCUAACUUCGUGCCAGCAGCCGCGGUAAUACGAAGGGGGCUAGCGUUGCUCGGAAUCACUGGGCGUAAAGCGCACGUAGGCGGACUCUUAAGUCGGGGGUGAAAUCCUGGAGCUCAACUCCAGAACUGCCUUCGAUACUGGGAGUCUUCGAGUUCGGGAGAGGUGAGUGGAACUGCGAGUGUAGAGGUGAAAUUCGUAGAUAUUCGCAAGAACACCAGUGGCGAAGGCGGCUCACUGGCCCGAUACUGACGCUGAGGUGCGAAAGCGUGGGGGAGCAAACAGGAUUAGAUACCCUGGUAGUCCACGCCGUAAACGAUGGAUGCUAGCCGUUGGCGGGUUUACUCGUCAGUGGCGCAGCUAACGCAUU
rnacentral:rRNA from 1 species